GAUGAACGCUGGCGGCGUGCCUAAUACAUGCAAGUCGAGCGAAUGGAUUAAGAGCUUGCUCUUAUGAAGUUAGCGGCGGACGGGUGAGUAACACGUGGGUAACCUGCCCAUAAGACUGGGAUAACUCCGGGAAACCGGGGCUAAUACCGGAUAACAUUUUGAACCGCAUGGUUCGAAAUUGAAAGGCGGCUUCGGCUGUCACUUAUGGAUGGACCCGCGUCGCAUUAGCUAGUUGGUGAGGUAACGGCUCACCAAGGCAACGAUGCGUAGCCGACGUGAGAGGGUGAUCGGCCACACUGGGACUGAGACACGGCCCAGACUCCUACGGGAGGCAGCAGUAGGGAAUCUUCCGCAAUGGACGAAAGUCUGACGGAGCAACGCCGCGUGAGUGAUGAAGGCUUUCGGGUCGUAAACUCUGUUGUUAGGGAAGAACAAGUGCUAGUUGAAUAAGCUGGCACCUUGACGGUACCCAACCAGAAAGCCACGGCUAACUACGUGCCAGCCGCCGCCGUAA
rnacentral:rRNA from 1 species